CUCUCAGGGCAGCAUCUCCUCGCUUUGGUCUCGAGGUCGCGCCUGAACAAGGAGCUCCCGGAUCGCAGGUCCUCCCACAGAGACUCCCCUUCCUCCUGCUGAGGGACAUCUCUCUCCAGACCAGCACGCUCGGUCCCCCGCGCUGGCCAUGCUCUCCGUGACCCUCCUCCUGCUCGGAUUGCCUUUCGCCCUGAGAGGAAGUGGAGCCCAGUCCGUGGCCCAGCCUGACCUCCGGGUCACCGUCACGGAAGGAGACCCUCUGCUGCUCAAGUGCAACUACACCUAUGGAGCAACCCCUUACCUCUUCUGGUACAUCCAGCGGCCUGGCCAAGGCCUCCAGCUUCUCCUCAAAUACACAUCAGGGUCAGCCCUGGUUACAGACAGCAGAGGUUUCGAGGCCGAGUUUAAGAAGAGUGAGAGCUCCUUCCACCUGCAGAAAGCCUCAGCCCGGCGGAGUGAUGCGGCCCUGUACUUCUGUGCUCUGGGUGACACAGCGCCUGAAACUGCAGGGGGAGCUGAGCACAAACCUCAGAGACUGGACUUCCUGUGA